rnacentral:rRNA from 1 species
AUGAACGCUGGCGGCGUGCCUAAUACGUGCAAGUCGAGCGAACAGACGAGGAGCUUGCUCCUCUGACGUUAGCGGCGGACGGGUGAGUAACACGUGGAUAACCUACCUAUAAGACUGGGAUAACUUCGGGAAACCGGAGCUAAUACCGGAUAAUAUAUUGAACCGCAUGGUUCAAUAGUGAAAGACGGUUUUGCUGUCACUUAUAGAUGGAUCCGCGCCGCAUUAGCUAGUUGGUAAGGUAACGGCUUACCAAGGCAACGAUGCGUAGCCGACCUGAGAGGGUGAUCGGCCACACUGGAACUGAGACACGGUCCAGACUCCUACGGGAGGCAGCAGUAGGGAAUCUUCCGCAAUGGGCGAAAGCCUGACGGAGCAACGCCGCGUGAGUGAUGAAGGUCUUCGGAUCGUAAAACUCUGUUAUUAGGGAAGAACAAAUGUGUAAGUAACUAUGCACGUCUGGACGGUACCUAAUCAGAAAGCCACGGCUAACUACGU